rnacentral:rRNA from 1 species
GACGAACGCUGGCGGCGUGCCUAAUACAUGCAAGUCGAACGAACCGCGACUAAGUGCUUGCACUAAGUCAAGGUGAGUGGCGAACGGGUGAGUAACACGUGGGUAACCUACCUCAUAGUGGGGGAUAACAGUCGGAAACGACUGCUAAUACCGCAUAGGACAUAGGAUCACAUGAUCCAGUGAGGAAAGGUGGCGCAAGCUAUCGCUAAGGGAUGGACCCGCGGUGCAUUAGCUAGUUGGUAGGGUAAAGGCCUACCAAGGCGAUGAUGCAUAGCCGACCUGAGAGGGUGAUCGGCCACAUUGGGACUGAGACACGGCCCAAACUCCUACGGGAGGCAGCAGUAGGGAAUCUUCCGCAAUGGACGCAAGUCUGACGGAGCAACGCCGCGUGAGUGAAGAAGGUCUUCGGAUCGUAAAGCUCUGUUGUUAGAGAAGAACAGCGCAUAGAGUAACUGCUAUGCGUGUGACGGUAUCUAACCAGAAAGCCACGGCUAACUACGUG